UACGUAGGGGGCUAGCGUUAUCCGGAAUUACUGGGCGUAAAGGGUGCGUAGGUGGUUUCUUAAGUCAGAUGUGAAAGCCCCGGGCUCAACCUGGGAACUGCAUUUGAAACUGGCGGGCUUGAGUAUGGCAGAGGGGGGUGGAAUUCCGCGUGUAGCAGUGAAAUGCGUAGAGAUGCGGAGGAACACCGAUGGCGAAGGCAGCCCCCUGGGCCAAUACUGACGCUCAGGCACGAAAGCGUGGGGAGCAAACAGG
rnacentral:rRNA from 1 species